rnacentral:rRNA from 1 species
CCUACGGGGGGCUGCAGUGAGGAAUAUUGGUCAAUGGACGCAAGUCUGAACCAGCCAUGCCGCGUGAAGGAAGACUGCCCUAUGGGUUGUAAACUUCUUUUAUACGGGGAUAAACCUAUCUUUGCGAAGAUAGCUGAAGGUACCGUAUGAAUAAGCAUCGGCUAACUCCGUGCCAGCAGCCGCGGUAAUACGGAGGAUGCGAGCGUUAUCCGGAUUUAUUGGGUUUAAAGGGUGCGUAGGCGGACAAAUAAGUCAGUGGUGAAAUCACUCAGCUUAACUGAGUAACUGCCAUUGAUACUGUUAGUCUAGAAUGUAAAUGGAGUAGGCGGAAUGAAUCAUGUAGAGGUGACAUUCAUAGAUAUGAUUCAGAACACCGAUCGCGAAGGCAGCUUGCUAAGAUACAAUUGACGCUGAGGCACGAAAGCGUGGGUAGCAAACAGGAUUAGAUACCCCGGUAGUC